AGAGUUUGAUCUUGGCUCAGGACGAACGCUGGCGGCGUGCCUAAUACAUGCAAGUCAAGCGAGCUUGCCUAGAUGAUUUUAGUGCUUGCACUAAAUGAAACUAGAUACAAGCGAGCGGUGGACGGGUGAGUAACACGUGGGUAACCUGCCCAAGAGACUGGGAUAACACCUGGAAAACAGAUGCUAAUACCGGAUAACCAACACUAGACGCAUGUCUAGAGUUUGAAAGAUGGUUCUGCUAUCACUCUUGGAUGGACCUGCGGUGCAUUAGCUAGUUGGUAAGGUAACGGCUUACCAAGGCAAUGAUGCAUAGCCGAGUUGAGAGACUGAUCGGCCACAUUGGGACUGAGACACGGCCCAAACUCCUACGGGAGGCAGCAGUGGGGAAUAUUGCACAAUGGGGGAAACCCUGAUGCAGCAACGCCGCGUGAGUGAAGAAGUAUUUCGGUAUGUAAAGCUCUAUCAGCAGGGAAGAAGAAAGACGGUACCUGACUAAGAAGCCCCGGCUAACUACGUGCCAGCAGCCGCGGUAAUACGUAGGGGGCAAGCGUUAUCCGGAUUUACUGGGUGUAAAGGGUGCGUAGACGGCUGUGCAAGUCUGAAGUGAAAGCCCGUGGCUCAACCGCGGAACUGCUUUGGAAACUGUAUAGCUUGAGUACUGGAGAGGCAGGCGGAAUUCCUAGUGUAGCGGUGAAAUGCGUAGAUAUUAGGAGGAACACCAGUGGCGAAGGCGGCUUACUGGACUGUAACUGACGUUGAGGCUCGAAAGCGUGGGGAGCAAACAGGAUUAGAUACCCUGGUAGUCCACGCCAUAAACGAUGAAUAUUAGGUGUCGGGGGACAAAGUCCUUCGGUGCCGCAGCAAACGCAGUAAAUAUUCCACCUGGGGAGUACGUUCGCAAGAAUGAAACUCAAAGGAAUUGACGGGGGCCCGCACAAGCGGAGGAACAUGUGGUUUAAUUCGAUGAUACGCGAGGAACCUUACCCGGGCUCAAACGACGGAUGGAUGUUUCUGAAAGGAGGCAGUCCUACGGGACAUCCGUCGAGGUGCUGCAUGGUUGUCGUCAGCUCGUGCCGUGAGGUGUCGGCUUAAGUGCCAUAACGAGCGCAACCCCCAUCGCCAGUUACCAGCAAGUAAAGUUGGGGACUCUGGCGAGACUGCCGGCGCAAGCUGUGAGGAAGGCGGGGAUGACGUCAAAUCAGCACGGCCCUUACGUCCGGGGCGACACACGUGUUACAAUGGCAGGUACAGAGAGAAGCGAUGCGGCGACGCAGAGCGGAACUUCAAAGCCUGUCUCAGUUCGGAUUGGAGUCUGCAACCCGACUCCAUGAAGCUGGAUUCGCUAGUAAUCGCGCAUCAGCCACGGCGCGGUGAAUACGUUCCCGGGCCUUGCACUCACCGCCCGUCA
rnacentral:rRNA from 1 species